CAAAACACUGACGUUAAAAUCAGAACAGAUGAUCAACAAAACAGAGUAAUCAGAGUAUCUCAAGGAGGAAUCUACCGCUGCAGAGGAAGAAGAGGAAACCCAGAUUACUACACUGAUAAAAGUGAUGAUGUCACCAUUGAGAUAACCUUUUCCAAUAAGGUUGUUGUAAAAGGACGACCCAGCUGGCCUCAGAUAUUCAGCGGUGAGACGAUCAGUCUGACAUGUGAGGUGCAGGAAGGAGGUGAAACCACUGAGUGGGAGUAUAGAUGGAGAGGACCCAACCAAACCACACAGUGGACUCAGAAUAAUUACUGGAUAUUCAAUGUUUCUGAGUCCAGCAGUGGAGACUACAUGUGUAAGAGUCGACGCAGAGAUGACUCAUAUUCUUCAACAGAGUGGAGUGAAGCCUUCAACUUGUCAGCAUCAACUGUGCUCAGUUCUGAGAGUUCUUCAUUUCUAAUGAUCUUUGGACUAAUUUCUGGAAUCACAUUUAUUUUCCUCCUGCUCUUGCUGUGUUGCUGCAUGAAGUCCAAAGUUUGUAAUAAAGGUUCAGCUGAUGACCAGAGGGUGAGUCAGGAUGAAGAUCAGCAGCAGGUGUACUCCUCUCUUCUUCAUGGUGAUCGUUGUGUCUAUGAGACAAUCAGAGGCUCUAAAAACACUGAUACUGGUCAAAUAGAAGGUGAUUCAUGUGUGAUUCAGCUCAAAGUGAUUAACAAGACACAGCCCCGUGGUGACCCAGAGGAGAGCUCUGACUAUUAUAAUGUCAAUCCAAAUUCAAUCCCAGGUCCAUAAAGAGCAGCUCACCAUCACGAGGGUAUGGCACCACACUCUGUUCCAGUGUGUUCUGAAAAAGGCCUUUUGGUAUUAUCCUGAAAUGUACAUUAUUUUGCAGUUUCGGGUAACCUUCCUGUGGCAGGGGUGUGGUCUUUGCCUCCGCAGCAGGGGAGGGGUGGUGCAGCAGGGGGCAGUGCCAGGGACACUGAUGGAGAGGGUGGAGAUAGUUCCUCUAAUGAGAAUCUUUUAGUGAUGCCAAGACGCAUAAAGAGCAGUGCAGUCAGCUGGAGAGCUGAGUGACGUGGGUGCUGAAC
ensembl:lncRNA